CCAAUAGCGUAUAUUAAAGUUGUUGCAGUUAAAAAGCUCGUAGUUGAAUUUCGGGAUCAAUAUAUCGGUCGUGCCAUUGGUACGUACUGGUAUCAUUGGUUUCUCCUUUCUGACGAACCAUGAUGUCAUUAAUUUGGUGUUAUGGGAAGUUAGGACUGUUACUUUGAAAAAAUUAGAGUGUUUAAAGCAGGCUCACGCUUGAAUACAUUAGCAUGGAAUAAUGAAAUAGGACGUUUGAUUCUAUUUUGUUGGUUUCUAGGAUCGACGUAAUGAUUAAUAGGGAUAGUUGGGGGCAUUAGUAUUCAAUUGUCAGAGGUGAAAUUCUUGGAUUUAUUGAAGACUAACUACUGCGAAAGCAUUUGCCAAGGAUGUUUUCAUUAAUCAAGAACGAAAGUUAGGGGAUCGAAGACGAUCAGAUACCGUCGUAGUCUUAACCAUAAACUAUGCCGACUAGGGAUCGGAUGAUGUUAAUUUUUUAAUGACUCAUUCGGCGCCUUACG
rnacentral:rRNA from 1 species